CACUGUGGGUAGCAUGUCUGCCUCAGGAAACAUCUGACAGUUUCUUAUGAAACUAGAUCAACACUUAUGCUAUGGCCCUGCAAAUCCACUUUUAAGUUAGCCAAGAGUUAUGAAAAUAGUUCCGCAGAGAGGCUCACACCAAAAUGUUCCUAGCAGAUUUAAUUGCCGAACCAACUGAUGGGUAUCCACACCAGGGAAUACUACUCAGAAUUCUGGAGAGACAAACUCUGACACGGCUGAUCAUGCGGAUUAAAUUUUAUGGGCCACAAAUGCACUUCAGGGUCAGAAACCAGUCGGCCCUGAAUUUGUCAAGAUGUUGUGGUUGCAAGAAACAGAAACUUGGGCUACCUACUGGUGUAGAGCCCACUAAAGUCACAAGGACAAGGGAUGGAUCACUCUUCAAUGGAGUUUCCAACAAGAGUCUCAGAAAACAGAGAGUACAUUUACCAUCUCGAAGGAAAAACUUCUUGCUGACAGAAAGCAGAGAAAGGGCACAGAAGAAAAGCACUGAGUGAAGAGUUUGUCAUCAGAAUUCCACAGAUGAAUGUAUCAUGUCUCCGUGCCUCCAGGAAUUUAAUCUCUAGGAGUCUGACUGUCACAACCUCAAACCCUUAGGGGGUGAGUUCACCAAGCUCACUGGGCUUGUGUAAAAACUAUAUGAAAAAUGCAUAUAAGAGGCAUAGUACAAAGCGUGAUGCACGGAAAGUUAUUUGAUAAAUAAAAACAGUCUGUGUAUUCAUAGAACAGCCACGUCCCACUACACACUGAGGUCUGUUUCUUGCAAAUACCUAUCACUCCCUGCUUAGGGUCUUUUUCUGGCAUAGGGAGAGCCAUGUGGAAGGUUAAUGUUCCGUGGAUCUUAACUCUCAGGAGUCAGGAAAUAGUCCAGCUUCCUCAUCCACAGUGGGUGCCUCAGAGACUUCUGGAGGCUCUUGCACAGUACCCAGACUGACCUUACCCCAACUGACACCUCCACUCCAGAAUGUGCCCCUUUCUCUUCCUGUCUUACCAUCCUUCCUGCAGUUACCUCCUGAGUAAACUACUUACUCUUGAAUCCUCCGCUCAGAUUGGGCCUCUGAGAACCCAAACCAGGACAAUGGAUUCGUAAAGAAAAUUUGAGAGAGGCUCGGCAGCAGAACGUCCACUAUCACCAUUCUAUGACUGGUGGAUUUAAGCUGUUUUCCUCUUUGUUAUCUGAGCUCAAAACAUUUUCACCAUGGAAGUAUAAGGGGGUGAUUAAGAUAUAUGUUGAGGGUUUAAAUUAAAAUGUUACAGUAAAAGACUUACUGUCAAGAAUGAUGGGGUAAUGUUUUCAAAGUAAGGAAGAGUAUUGAAAGUAUUUUACUAUAUUAAAUUUUAAUUUAAAUAUUAAUUUUAUACAUAUAUAUAUUUGGUAGGUUCUUGUUUUGAUUUUUGGGAUGGGGUCUCACUAUGUAGUUCAGGCUGGCCUUGAACUCUCUAUGUAGUCCAGGUUGGCCUUGAACUCAUGGCAAUCCUCCUGUCUCAGCCUCCCUAGUGCUGGGAUUACAGGCAUGAGCUACCAUGUCAGGCUUCACUGUAUGUUUUGAUCACCUUUCAUUGAUCAAAUGUUUACAGCCAUCUCUGUCUAAUGAAUGCAUUAUGGUAUGGCCUCAUCUACUGUAUUCACUGGAUCUGGAAACAUGUGACUUCUGACUUUUCUCCAAAGUCAAAAUGACCAUGAAAAGUCAAUGUUUUGGAUCGAUGAGGAACACACGGAAGAAGACUUAUAGAACUGCUUCGGAAAGUGGCAAGAAGGACGGAAUUGUUUUUGAAGCGAGGAGGAGGAUUUUGAGCGAGAUUCAUAGCAAUGUGUUUUUUACUAACCCUAAUCAAACUCUAUGUGCCCAGUAAGCAAAACUCACUUUUGCACCCACAAAGCCCAUCCCUACCAUGACUUACACCUAUCCUAGCCCUUUCUGUUCCUCUGCCUUUCUUCCAGGCUCCCCAGACCCACUCUGUCCAUGAUGCCACUUGGUGUCUAUGGUGGAUUAACUAAUAGUCAGUUUGUAACACCCAGCUGAAAUAAAUCAGUGCGGUUCUGAGGGGAGAAGGCCCCCCUGAUGACUGUUGCCAACAGCAGAAAGGCAGAACUGGCGGGGAAGAUGCUGGUGUUGUUGAUUUUCUGGAGACACUUAUCAAGAUGGCUUUCCUGAUAUGCACUCAGCUAUUCUCACUGUCAGAGGAGCUCGGGUCCUCGCUGUCAUUGAGGAUGGCUGCGGUUCUCUUUGGAGGAGCCCUCUUAUCUUGAGUGUCACUUCCUGGCUCCAGUGCAGAUCCCUCAGCCUACUGGCACAGAUCCUUCAUCCUCUUAGCAGACAUCCUAGCUUCCACCACUGACCUUCGGGCCUUCCCAGUUCAGAUUCUUGAUCAGACUUGCAGGAGACAUUGUUGGGGGCUUUAGACCUCCAACUGGACUCGUGCAGAACAUUGCCAGGCCCUCAGCUGGAUUCUUUGGAUCUCUCGUGUGUGGACAAUCUCCUGUACUCUUCUGAAUUUGACUUUUAUUAUAAAAUAACACUAUACAUUAUGUGUCCUGUAUUAAAUCUAUUCCCUUGUUAACCCUGACUCUGUGUCCCUUGCACCCCAUCGGCAUUACGAGUUCCUCCCAUUCCCUCUGUUGAUUUAAAGAGAUUGAACAAAACACCUCUUUGCCAUAA